GACGUAGGGCGCGAGCGUUGUCCGGAUUUAUUGGGCGUAAAGAGCUCGUAGGCGGCUUGUCGCGUCGAAUGUGAAAACCCACGGCUCAACUGUGGGCUUGCAUUCGAUACGGGCAGGCGUAGAGUUCGGUAGGGGAGACGUGGAAUUACCAGUGUAGCGGUGAAAUGCGUAGAUAUUGGUAGGAACACCAGUGGCGAAGGCGGUCUUCUGGAGCACUCUUGACGCUGAGGCGCGAAAGCUGGGGGAGCGAACGGG
rnacentral:rRNA from 1 species